GGUGUGGCUCAGCUUGGCUAGAGCGCUUGAUUUGGGAUCAAGAGGUCGCAGGUUCGAAUCCUGUCAUCC
rnacentral:tRNA from 1 species